CACAUUACCACACCCACAAUAUUAGUACACAAUGGAACUUCCCUCAUGUGCAUUCUGGAUACCAACACAGAUCCAUUCACACUAUAAAACAAUAUUCAGGUACAGUUUUCUAAAUCUAACAGUAACAGAAAUACAAACUACAUCUGGACUGCCAACAUGGAGAGAGAGAUGCUACUCUUGAUUCUCAUUGUAGUUACAGGUGGAUUUGCAGACAAAAUUGAACCAAGAGAAGGAGAUAGCAAUUUAAUCAAGGAAGAAGGAGAAUUUGUGACACUGAGCUGCACAUAUGAUGUGGGCAGCAAUAACGUUUGGCUUUACUGGUACAGACAGUAUCCAAAUGGAGAACCUCGGUUUUUACUGCUCAAAGGUGCUCGAUCACAGACCUAUGAGAAUAUAGCAGACAAACGGUUUCGGUCGACUACAUCCCAGUCAUCCACUGAACUCAUUAUUGAAAAAGCAGCUCUGUCAGAUUCUGCUCUGUAUUAUUGUGCUCUUCGAGUGGCCCAGUGAUACAAAAUACCAGAGAAGCUUUACAAAAACUGAAAAUAAAAAAUGUGCUUUGAACAGUGUUUAA